rnacentral:lncRNA from 10 species
CUGGAUUUGUUCUGGGGAUUGCAGGGAUUUAGUGACUGCUUAAUGCUUAUCCAUCAGAUUGGAUUAUGGGUUCCUUUUGCUGUCUCCUGAGGAAAAAACAACAACAACAACAACAACAAAAAAAAAAAAAAAAAAAAAAAAAAAAACUUCCCUUCAGAGAGAUUGCAUCCCUAAUAGGGAUGGCUCUCCCAUCAGCAGCCCCUUAGUUGUGGAAUUUAUGUAACAUGAGGAAUGCCCACUCUUCUGGUGGGGAGACAUCUUCAAGGACUGAAGGGGUUAUCAUAUAACUAGGUGGAAGGGGAUAAGGGAAGACGGGAGAGAGAAAAAAGAGAAAAGAGAAGGAGAAAGAAUGUGUGUGAUGGAUGAGAGGAUGAAAGAAGGAAGGAAAGAGGGAGGAAGAGGGUGGAGAUGCAGAUGGCAAGAGUAAGGCAGGGCUUGAGUGAACCAGACAGACUCCUGUGUCCAGGGAAGGGGCAGGGAAAGUGUGCCAGUUGGAGCAAAUUGCUCCCCUCAAGUGUCCCAGGGG